rnacentral:rRNA from 1 species
UGGGGAAUAUUGGACAAUGGGCGAAAGCCUGAUCCAGCCAUGCCGCGUGUGUGAAGAAGGCCUUUUGGUUGUAAAGCACUUUAAGUGGGGAGGAAAAGCUUAUGGUUAAUACCCAUAAGCCCUGACGUUACCCACAGAAUAAGCACCGGCUAACUCUGUGCCAGCAGCCGCGGUAAUACAGAGGGUGCAAGCGUUAAUCGGAAUUACUGGGCGUAAAGCGCGCGUAGGUGGUUAUUUAAGCCAGAUGUGAAAGCCCCGGGCUUAACCUGGGAACUGCAUCUGAUACUGGAUAACUAGAGUAGGUGAGAGGGGAGUAGAAUUCCAGGUGUAGCGGUGAAAUGCGUAGAGAUCUGGAGGAAUACCGAUGGCGAAGGCAGCUCCCUGGCAUCAUACUGACACUGAGGUGCGAAAGCGUGGGUAGCAAACAGGAUUAGAUACCCUGGUAGUCCACGCCGUAAACGAUGUCUACCAGUCGUUGGGUCUUUUAAAGACUUAGUGACGCAGUUAACGCAAUAAGUAGACCGCCUGGGGAGUACGGCCGCAAGGUUA